rnacentral:rRNA from 1 species
GAAAGUAAGCAAGGGCAGACGGUGGAUGCCUUGGCUCUCGGAGGCGACGAAGGACGUGAUAAGCUGCGAAAAGCUCGGGGGAGGCGCAAAUAGCCGUUGAUCCCGGGAUAUCCGAAUGGGGCAACCCGGCAGGCUGAAGGCCUGCCAUCCCGUAAGGGAGGCGAACGUGGGGAACUGAAACAUCUAAGUACCCAUAGGAGGAGAAAAUAAACAAUGAUUCCGUAAGUAGUGGCGAGCGAACACGGAAGAGCCCAAACCCAUGUCGUCUAGGCGACACGGGGGUUGUAGGACCACGACGUGGCAAGAUAGAGUCAAGUGGAACGCCUUGGAAAGGGCGACCGUAGAGGGUGAUAGUCCCGUACACGACUGACGAUUGAAGCCUAGUGGUAUCCUGAGUAGCGCGGGGCACGAGAAAUCUUGCGUGAAUUAGCGGGGCCCAUCCCGUAAGGCUAAAUACUCCCGAGAGACCGAUAGCGAACCAGUACCGUGAGGGAAAGGUGAAAAGAACCCCGAGCAGGGGAGUGAAAUAGACCCUGAACCCGUCUGCCUACAAGCGGUCGGAGCGUCGUAAUGACGUGACGGCGUGCCUUUUGCAUAAUGAACCUACGAGUUACCUUCCCCGGCAAGGUUAAGUACCUAAGGUACGGAGCCGAAGCGAAAGCGAGUCUGAACAGGGCGCCAAGUCGGGGGGGGUAGACGCGAAACCGAGUGAUCUACCCUUGGCCAGGUUGAAGGUUGGGUAACACCAACUGGAGGACCGGAUGGGUAAGCGUUGAAAAGCUUUCCAAUGAGCUGAGGGUAGGGGUGAAAGGCUAAUCAAACUCGGAGAUAGCUCGUACUCCCCGAAAUGCAUUUAGGUGCAGCCUCUUUAUAGUAUAUCGUGAGGUAGAGCGACUGAUUGGAUGCGAGGGCUUCACCGCCUAUCAAGUCCAGAUAAACUCCGAAUGCGCGAUAUAUAUUUACAGGGAGUGAGGGCGCGGGUGCUAAGGUCCGUGUCCGAGAGGAGAAGAAUCCAGACCACCGGCUAAGGCCCCCAAAUGAUCGUUAAGUUGAACUAACGAGGUCGGAUCGCAGAGACAGCUAGGAUGUUGGCUUGGAAGCAGCCAUUCAUUUAAAGAGUGCGUAACAGCUCACUAGUCGAGCGAUCUGGCGUGGAUAAUAAUCGGGCAUAAACGAUCUGCCGAAGCCGUGGAUGUCGCAAGACAUGGUAGGGGAGCAUUCCAUGCGGCGUCGAAGAUGAGGGAUGACCCUUGUUGGAGCGCAUGGAAAAGCAAAUGUAGGUAUGAGUAACGAUAAGGGGGGCGAGAAACCCCCCCGCCGAAAGACCAAGGUUUCCUGAUCAACGCUAAUCGGAUCAGGGUGAGUCGGGACCUAAGGCAAAGCCGAACGGCGCCGCCGAUGGAAGAAUGGGUUAAUAUUCCCAUACUGCCUCAUGGAGUGACGUGGAGACGGAGAAGUGACAGUCCUGCCGGCUGACGGAAUAGCCGGUUGAAGGGUGUAGAUAUUGAUUCCCGUAGGCAAAUCCGCGGGGAGAGUCGAACCUGAGAGUAUACGGAGCGCUUGCGCGACGUAAUAUGGACGUAACCAUGCUCCCGAGAAAAUCCGCUAAACUUAUCCAUGCGGCACCCGUACCGUAAACGGACACACGUGGUCGGGUUGAGAAUACUGAGGCGCUCGAGUGAUUCACGGUUAAGGAACUAGGCAAAUUGACCCUGUAACUUCGGGAUAAAGGGUCCUCGUCGUAAGGCGAGGCGCAGAGAAUAGGUCCAGGCAACUGUUUAACAAAAACACAUGGCUGUGCUAAAUGGAAACAUGACGUAUACAGCCUGACACCUGCCCGGUGCCGGAAGGUUAAGAGGAGAUGUCAUCCGCGAGGAGAAGCGUUGAAUUGAAGCCCCGGUAAACGGCGGCCGUAACUAUAACGGUCCUAAGGUAGCGAAAUUCCUUGUCGGGUAAGUUC